rnacentral:tRNA from 1 species
GGGGUUGUGGCUCAGUGGUAGAGCACUUGCCUUGCGUACAUGAGACACUGUGUUUGAUCCUCAGCACCA